AAUCCCUCAUCUACACACUCGCACUGUAAGGGGAGAUAGCGGUAACCCCAAGUCGCUUAUGUUUCAAAAAAGCUUUUUUCAAAGGAAAUACUUUGAAGAACAAGAGGGGGGUAAGACCGGGGCCAGCCACCGCGGUAACACCGGCGCCACGAGGGGCAAUCACUUUUAUUGGGCCUAAAGCGUCCGUAGCUGGUCUCAUAAGUCUUUUGGGAAAUCGUCAAGCUUAACUUGACGGCGGGCUUAAAAUACUGUGAAACUUGGAAUCGGGGGGGGUCAGAAGUAUUUUGAGGGGGGCGGUAAAAUGCUAUAAUCCUCAGAGGACUACCUGUGGCAAAGGCGUCUGACUAGAACGAAUUCGACAGUGAGGGACGAAAGCUAGGGGAGCGAUCCGGAUAAGAUACCCGAGUAGCCCUAGCCGUAAACGCUGCGAGCUAGGCGUUGCGAAUUCUACGGAAAUUCCCAGUGCCGAAGCGAAGGUGAUAAGCUCGCCGCCUGGAAAGUAUGGUCGCAGGGCUGAACUAAAAGAAAUGGGGGGGGAAAAGGGCGAAUUCGUUUAACCCUGCGGGACUAGUCCCUUUAGUGAGGGUUAAUCCUGAGCUUGCCGAAACCAUGGCCAUAGCGGUUUUCCGGAG
rnacentral:rRNA from 1 species